AAGGGCACCACAAGAACGCGUGGAGCAUGUGGCUUAAUUUGACUCAACGCGGGAAAUCUUACCGGGUCCGGACACACUGAGGAUUGACAGGCAAUAUUAAUACGUGUUCGCACGUAUUAUGUUAAAUAUGCUAGUCCUUUCAUGAUUAUGUGAUAGGUGGUGCAUGGCCGUUCUUAGUUCGUGGAGUGAUCUGUCUGCUUAAUUGCGUUUCACUAAGGGCCUAUAAAUUUACGUGUGUUGCGGCACUUUGACCCCUUUCUUCGGAAAGCGCGUGUCUUAGUUUGCUUUGCUCACACAAUUAGGUCCUGAAAGCAACGAACGUGACCGCAACCUCUUGUUGCCUUUAUACCAAACAUGUUUGUCAUUUUUAUGGCAUUCAUGAAAAAAGGCUUUUUAAACUAGAGGGACCGCUGUUACUUUCUUAAACCAGAGGAAGGUUGCGGCAAUAACAGGUCUGUGAUGCCCUUAGAUGUUCCGGGCUGCACACGUGCUACAAUGAUUAUUGCGGUGAGCAUCUCAUUUUUACACACCGCAUGCGCGAGUCCAUUUAUUCACUUCGGUGCUUUAAAUGUGUAUUUCUGCGCGCGGUAAAGCCUGCUUCGAAAGUAAGUGGGUAAUCAAUUAGAAGUAAUGAUUUCCUUUUAGCACACAUAUAUACGGCGUCUAUACCCGGGUUACCUUGUUGUAACUUUGUGUGUAUAGAUGUUUUUUCCGUAUGUGCGAUGUCAAUUCAUGGUGGGGACAGACCAUUGUUAAUUGUGGUCUCGGUCUUAACUAGGAAUGCCUUGUACGGGUCUUUGGUUCAACAAACCACCCGGAAUACGUCCCUGCCCUUUGUACACACCGCCCGUCGCUCUUACCGAUGGACUUCUCUGUGAGUGUGAGGGACUGGGAACGCAGAAUUUAUUCUGCACACCUAUGGAAACUUAAACGAACAGUGUGGUCUAAAGGAAAGAGAAGUCGUAACAAGGCAUCGGUAGGUGAACCUGCAGAAGGAUCA
rnacentral:rRNA from 1 species